CUGUAGAUAUAAAAAGUUCCGUGAUCAUUUUGUGGAACAUUGAUUUGCGGUGCACAAAUAAAAAGCUGUUUUACAGCAGCGGUCAGACAACCGUAGAGAUGGAUCCACAGAUGAUUAGUUUGCCAUACUGCUCAUCUACUAUUUCUAUCUCACAUUU